rnacentral:rRNA from 1 species
CCUACGGGAGGCUGCAGUGAGGAAUAUUGGUCAAUGGACGAGAGUCUGAACCAGCCAAGUAGCGUGAAGGAUGACAGCCCUAUGGGUUGUAAACUUCUUUUAUAAAGGAAUAAAACGAGGCACGUGUGCCUUUUUGCAUGUACUUUAUGAAUAAGGAUCGGCUAACUCCGUGCCAGCAGCCGCGGUAAUACGGAGGAUCCGAGCGUUAUCCGGAUUUAAUGGGGUUAAAGGGUGCGUAGAUGGUUUGUUAAGUCAGUUGUGAAAGUUUGCGGGUCAACCCCAAAAUUGCAAUAGAUACUGGCGGUCUUGAGUACGGUUGAGGUAGGCGGAAUGAGAGGUGUAGCGGUGAAAUGCGUAGAUAUCACGAAGAACCCCGAUUGCGAAGGCAGCUUACUGAACUGGGACUGACAUUGAGGCACGAAAGUGUGGGUAUCAAACAGGAUUAGAUACCCCGGUAGUC